AGUGCAGCUGAAUGGACUCUCUAGGACGAUCGCAUAGUACUGAUUGCAGUAGGAGUCGGUGGGCCUCGAGUAGGUGGGCCUCCGUAGGGAGCCAGCGUGGAUCGAGUGCGGGGCCUGGACUUCCCGCCCCCUCCGCACUGCAGACUCUGCGGUGAUUUAAAGAAACUUCCUUCUACUACUUAAAGUCCUCACAUUGGGCUGACCUGGGAAACAUGAAGAUAAAAAGAGUGGGUAAACAUGCCUGCUUGAUGAGCCAGAAAAAAAGGCAGAAACCUGUGGUCUGGGUAGAACAGAUCCUGCUCAGAAUGUAUAAACCAGGAAAAGUUGUUCUGGCCCCUCAUCUGGUUUCAUGAAGGACAAUAUCUAGCAUGAGAGUGACAGGGGUUAGAAUAAUGGACAUUUUGGGGACUGGGUCCUAGCAGAAAUGAUGGAAUAAUGGAACAGGAGUUUGGAUGAAUGGGCAUAUUAUGGGAUUAAAGAAGAUUUGAAUACAAGCUUUCCUAAUAAAUGAAAGGGGAGGUGAAACUAGAGCAUGCUGAUGGCUGCACAGCAUUGUGAAUGCACUAAAUGCACUAACUGUCCACUUUAAAAUGUUUAGUAAUAUGUCGAUUUUACCUAAAUAAAAAAAAGGAAGCAACAUAGUGAGUCAUCGUCUCUAUAACAAUUUUAUUCAG
rnacentral:lncRNA from 10 species